ACCGAGGCAACGGCCCUC
rnacentral:snRNA from 1 species